rnacentral:lncRNA from 1 species
UUUUAGCUACUUUCUGAAGGAUAUGUCGUGCUUUCUUUCUUUGACUGAUUUCCACACAACCCAUAAUGUCUACCUUAUGUCUUGCCAUAAAGAGCUUCAACUAUUUCUGUUUAGAGAGCUUGUUCAGCCCUUUAAUAUUCUAGGUGCAUACAAUAAUGGAGGAUCUGUCAUCCUCAGUGCACAUACGGACCACCCCAUGUAGUGCUAGGCUCCUCAAUUCUUAGGGAUCCAAACCUAUUAACAACAACAACAACCCAGUAUAAUCUCACUUAGUGGGGUUUGGGGAGGGUAGUAUGUACGCAAACCUUA